rnacentral:rRNA from 1 species
GAUGAACGCUGGCGGCGUGCCUAAUACAUGCAAGUCGAGCGAUCAGAUGAGGAGCUUGCUCCUCUUACGUUAGCUGCGAACGGGUGAGUAACACGUUGAUAACCUACCUAUUAGACUGGGAUAACUUCUGGAAACCGUAGCUAAUACCGCAUAAUAUAUUUUACCGCAUGUUUCUAUAUUGAAAGACGGUUUUGCUGUCCUUUAUAGAUGGCUCCGCGUCGCAUUAGCUAUUUGGUAAGUUAACGGCUUACCAAGGCAACGAUGAGUAGCCGACCUGAGAGGGUGAUCGGCCACACUGGAACUGAGGAAGGGCCAAGACUCCUACGGGAGGAAGAAGUAGGGAAGCUUCCGCAAUGGGGGAAAGCCUGACGGAGAAAAGCGGCGUGAGUGAUGAAGGUAUUCGGAUCGAAAAACUUUGUGAUAAGGGAAGAAGAAAUGUGGAAGUAAAUAUGCACGUAGUGACGGUACCUAAUCAGAAAGCCACGGCUAACUACGUG